rnacentral:lncRNA from 1 species
UUUUAUCAUAUAUGCAUGCAAGACAAUCAACCCUUAUACCCAUGAACCCAUUUGUAAAUUAUUUAUUUUAGUAGGAAUUUCGAAAUCAAAAGUUAGAGCACAAGUUCUUACCUCUUAGGAUGAAGGCCUAGUAACGUUACUUGAUAAUCUUCAAGGAUUUGGGCAAGGAUUAAGUAGAGGCUUGGUGAGGAUCACUUUCUCCCCCUAGAACUGUUGCUCUCACUCUAAAUGUAGUAGAAAUUAAGUCAAAAGGGUCUAAUGGGGGUGUUUUUAACG